rnacentral:rRNA from 1 species
UGGGGGAUAUUGCACAAUGGGCGAAAGCCUGAUGCAGCGACGCCGCGUGGGGGAUGAAGGCCUUCGGGUUGUAAACUUCUUUUGCUCUGAACAAGGCGCACCAUGGGGUGUGUUGAGUGUAGGGGUUGAUUAGCGCCGGCUAACUACGUGCCAGCAGCCGCGGUAAUACGUAGGGCGCGAGCGUUGUCCGGAAUUAUUGGGCGUAAAGGGCUUGUAGGUGGCUGGUUGCGUCUGUCGUGAAAGCUCAUGGCUUAACUGUGGGUUUGAGGUGGGUACGGGCUGGCUUGAGUGCAGUAGGGGAGGCUGGAAUUCCUGGUGUAGCGGUGGAAUGCGCAGAUAUCAGGAGGAAUACCGGUGGCGAAGGCGGGUCUCUGGGCUGUUACUGACACUGAGGAGCGACAGCAUGGGGAGCGAACAGG